ncrna:18S ribosomal RNA from Plasmodium falciparum (PDB 3JBN, chain A)
AACCUGGUUGAUCUUGCCAGUAGUCAUAUGCUUGUCUCAAAGAUUAAGCCAUGCAAGUGAAAGUAUAUAUAUAUAUAUGUAGAAACUGCGAACGGCUCAUUAAAACAGUUAUAGUCUACUUGACAUUUAUAAGGAUAACUACGGAAAAGCUGUAGCUAAUACUUGCAUUAUCCUUUUGGAUAAGUAUUUGUUAGAAGGAAUUAUAACAAAGAAGUAACACGUAAAGUGUGUAUCAAUCGAGUUUCUGACCUAUCAGCUUUUGAUGUUAGGGUAUUGGCCUAACAUGGCUAUGACGGGUAACGGGGAAUUAGAGUUCGAUUCCGGAGAGGGAGCCUGAGAAAUAGCUACCACAUCUAAGGAAGGCAGCAGGCGCGUAAAUUACCCAAUUCUAAAGAAGAGAGGUAGUGACAAGAAAUAACAAUGCAAGGUUUGUAUUGGAAUGGUGGGAAUUUAAAACCUUCCCAGAGUAACAAUUGGAGGGCAAGUCUGGUGCCAGCAGCCGCGGUAAUUCCAGCUCCAAUAGCGUAUAUUAAAAUUGUUGCAGUUAAAACGCUCGUAGUUGAAUUUCAAAGAAUCAUUCUUUUUAAAAUCCGAUUUUGUUACUUUGAGUAAAUUAGAGUGUUCAAAGCAAACAGUUAAAGCAUUGUGUUUGAAUACUAUAGCAUGGAAUAACAAAAUUGAACAAGCUAAAAUUUUUUGUUCUUAUUUUGGCUUAGUUACGAUUAAUAGGAGUAGCUUGGGGACAUUCGUAUUCAGAUGUCAGAGGUGAAAUUCUUAGAUUUUCUGGAGACGAACAACUGCGAAAGCAUUUGUCUAAAAUACUUCCAUUAAUCAAGAACGAAAGUUAAGGGAGUGAAGACGAUCAGAUACCGUCGUAAUCUUAACCAUAAACUAUGCCGACUAGGUGUUGGAUGAAGUGCUUCCUUCAGUACCUUAUGAGAAAUCAAAGUCUUUGGGUUCUGGGGCGAGUAUUCGCGCAAGCGAGAAAGUUAAAAGAAUUGACGGAAGGGCACCACCAGGCGUGGAGCUUGCGGCUUAAUUUGACUCAACACGGGGAAACUCACUAGUUUAAGACAUUGGAUGGUGAUGCAUGGCCGUUUUUAGUUCGUGAAUGAUUUGUCUGGUUAAUUCCGAUAACGAACGAGAUCUUAACCUGCUAAUUAGCGGCGAGUACACUGUACUUGCUGCUUCUUAGAGGAACAUUGUGUGUCUAACACAAGGAAGUUUAAGGCAACAACAGGUCUGUGAUGUCCUUAGAUGAACUAGGCUGCACGCGUGCUACACUGAUAUAUAUAACGAGUAAAAUAUGCUUGCAUACUUUUCCUCCGCCGAAAGGCGUAGGUAAUCUUUAUCAAUAUAUAUCGUGAUGGGGAUAGAUUAUUGCAAUUAUUAAUCUUGAACGAGGAAUGCCUAGUAAGCAUGAUUCAUCAGAUUGUGCUAACUACGUCCCUGCCCUUUGUACACACCGCCCGUCGCUCCUACCGAUUGAAAGAUAUGAUGAAUUGUUUGGACAAGAAAAAUUUUUUCUGGAAAAACCGUAAAUCCUAUCUUUUAAAGGAAGGAGAAGUCGUAACAAGGUUUCCGUAGGUGAACCUGCGGAAGGAUCAU